CCUACGGGAGACAGCAGUGAGGAAUAUUGGUCAAUGGGCGGGAGCCUGAACCAGCCAAGCCGCGUGAGGGAAGAAGGUACAGCGUAUCGUAAACCUCUUUUGUCAGGGAACAAAGGCGGGGACUAGUCUCCGGCUGAGGGUACCUGACGAAAAAGCAUCGGCUAACUCCGUGCCAGCAGCCGCGGUAAUACGGAGGAUGCGAGCGUUAUCCGGAUUUAUUGGGUGUAAGGGGUGCGCAGGCGGCCUGGUAAGUCAGCGGUAAAAGCCCGGGGCUCAACCCCGGCGAGCCGUUGGAACUGGCGGGCUGGAGUGAGAGAGAAGUACGCGGAAUGCGCGGUGUAGCGGUGAAAUGCUUAGAUAUCGCGCAGAACCCCGAUUGCGAAGGCAGCAUACCGGCGCCAAACUGACGCUGAGGCACGAAAGCGUGGGUAUCGAACAGGAUUAGAUACCCUUGUAGUC
rnacentral:rRNA from 1 species